rnacentral:rRNA from 1 species
AAUGAACGCUGGCGGCAUGCCUAACACAUGCAAGUCGAACGAGACCUUCGGGUCUAGUGGCGCACGGGUGCGUAACGCGUGGGAAUCUGCCCUUGGGUUCGGAAUAACAGCUAGAAAUGGCUGCUAAUACCGGAUGAUGACGUAAGUCCAAAGAUUUAUCGCCCAGGGAUGAGCCCGCGUAGGAUUAGCUAGUUGGUGGG